AGCGAACGCUGGCGGCAGGCCUAACACAUGCAAGUCGAACGAACCUUUCGGGGUUAGUGGCGGACGGGUGAGUAACACGUGGGAACGUGCCUUUAGGUUCGGAAUAACUCAGGGAAACUUGUGCUAAUACCGAAUGUGCCCUUCGGGGGAAAGAUUUAUCGCCUUUAGAGCGGCCCGCGUCUGAUUAGCUAGUUGGUUGAGGUAAUGGCUCACCAAGGCGACGAUCAGUAGCUGGUCUGAGAGGAUGAUCAGCCACAUUGGGACUGAGACACGGCCCAAACUACUACGGGAGGCAGCAGUGGGGAAUCUUGCGAAAUGGGGGAAAGCCUGACGCAGCCAUGCCGCGUGAAUGAUGAAGGUCUUAGGAUUGUAAAAUUCUUUCACCGGGGACGAUAAUGACGGUACCCGGAGAAGAAGCCCCGGCUAACUUCGUG
rnacentral:rRNA from 1 species